rnacentral:rRNA from 1 species
UAAUACAUGCAAGUCGUGCGGACCUUUUAAAAGCUUGCUUUUAAAAGGUUAGCGGCGGACGGGUGAGUAACACGUGGGCAACCUGCCUGUAAGACUGGGAUAACGCCGGGAAACCGGGGCUAAUACCGGAUAGUUUUUUCCUCCGCAUGGAGGAAAAAGGAAAGGCGGCUUCGGCUGCCACUUACAGAUGGGCCCGCGGCGCAUUAGCUAGUUGGUGGGGUAAUGGCCUACCAAGGCGUUUACGGGUAGCCGGCCUGAGAGGGCGACCGGCCACACUGGGACUGAGACACGGCCCAGACUCCUACGGGAGGCAGCAGUGGGGAAUAUUGCACAAUGGGCGCAAGCCUGAUGCAGCGACGCCGCGUGGGGGAUGACGGCCUUCGGGUUGUAAACCUCUUUCAGUAGGGAACAAGGCCUCCUUGAUGGGGGUGGAGGGUACCUGCAGAAGAAGUACCGGCUAACUAC